UUACGGUCAAAUCACGCUGAAAACACCGGUUCUCGUUCGAUCACUAAGUUAAGCAUCGUAGAACCAGGUCAGUACUUAGAUGGGGGACCGCUUGGGAACCCCUGGUACUGUAAG
rnacentral:rRNA from 1 species